rnacentral:misc_RNA from 1 species
UCCGGUUUGUCACCGGCAGUCUGGCGUGAGUCCCCAACUUAAUGCUGGCAACACGCCACGGGGGUUGCGCUCGUUGCGGGACUUAACCCAACAUCUCACGACACGAGCUGACGACAGCCAUGCAGCAUCUGUGGUGCACCCUCGAAGGUCACACGUUUCCGGGGCGGUCAGGAACAUGUCAAGCCCAGGUAAGGUGGGGAUGACGUAGUACACCUGAAC